rnacentral:rRNA from 1 species
CAGCCGCCGCGGUAAUACCAGCAGCCCAAGUGGUGGUCGCGCUUAUUGGGCCUAAAGCGCUCGUAGCCUGGCCGGUAAGUUCCCCGUGAAAUCGGGUCGCCCAACGAUUCGGCUUGCGGGGAAUACUGUCGGUCUUGGGGCCGGGAGACGCCGAGGGUACUCCGGGGGUAGCGGUGAAAUGCUGUAAUCCUCGGGGGACUACCAGUGGCGAAGGCGCUCGGCGAUAACGGGCCUGACGGUGAGGGGCGAAAGCUGGGGGCGCGAACGGGAUUAGAUACCCCGGUAGUCCCUGUCUCUUAUA